rnacentral:rRNA from 1 species
UACAGAGGUCUCAAGCGUUGUUCGGAUUCAUUGGGCGUAAAGGGCGCGUAGGCGGCGGGGUAAGUCUGGUGUGAAAUCUAGGAGCUCAACUCCUAAACUGCACUGGAUACUGCUCUGCUAGAGGACUGGAGAGGAGACUGGAAUUCACGGUGUAGCAGUGAAAUGCGUAGAUAUCAGGAGGAACACCGGUGGCGAAGGCGGGUCGCUGGGCCGAUACUGACGCUGAGGAGCGAAAGCGUGGGGAGCGAACAGG